GAGAAACGGCCAUAGGUCCCAUGUGCCCUAACGGAAGGGGCGUGACUUCGCUACUCUAUAGAGCUCGUAAAUCAGCCCCUUCCGGUGGUCCCCAUGGGACCUAUGAGAUCGAAAAAUAUGAAUGGGUUUCAAUGGAGGUAAAGUAAUUAUUUUCUGGUCCCAGUCUUUAUAUGCCCUGGAUUACACAUAUGUUUGUGGAUUUAAAUGAUAAUUUUUCAUGCCAAGAGUUUGACAGUUUAUUGUGCAAUUGUUCAGUUAAAGGCUGUAGAGAAAACUUAUAAUGGUUUUCACCUCUUUCGAUGCCUUUAUCUUCCCCUUGGAAAAAAAUGGUGAAGUGGAGCAGAGAGGUCGCCAUGUCUGUGGCAGAGUGGUGGUGACGUAUAUCAUUCACGUCGAGAGCAGGGAGGGGCGGUAGUUCAAAAAGCGACCUCACAAAAACCUAACAUUAUCAAACUUCCUCGCAAUUUUCUUUGCUUGAAAUUUUUUAAUUUAAAUCCACAAACAACAAAUGUGUAAUCUAGCGCAUAUAAAGACGGGGGCCAGAAAAUAAUUACUUUCUCUCCAUUGAAACCCAUUCAUAUUUUUCGAUCUCAGAGGUCCCAUGAGGGGCCUACCGGAAGGGGCGGACUUACGAGGUCUAUGACGCUGCUCUCGAGCGACAUAUAGCUAGGACUGCUAAACGUACAAGGAUUCUCAAGAUCGAUUGUCGGCAGUCGAUCUAGUCAUUCUAUCGCUGUAACUUUUCUCUCGUGUUGCAAUGGACAAGUUGUUUGACCUGGAUCCCCGUGACCCCCGCACAGAAGGAAGACACCUUGCCAUUGGGUUGAUGCAUGACCAAAUCCUUGCUGAAGCCAUGGUAACAACUUUUUGUACAUUAACUGAACUUGAACUUGUACAUGAAAUGAAUGUUUCAGUACCUCAGAAACUCAGUCUAACAAGAUGUUGGACUUAAACACACAGGAGGCUGCGGAGGAUGGCAAACGGGCAAGGUCUGGAGGGGAUUCACCACGGAGCUCAACCAAACGGAGCGGACGCGGCAAGGCCAGAGGGAGACGUGGAGGCCGUGCGGGCCAUACAGGCCGUGAGUGGCCUAACUACAGGCAUGGACACUGAGGUGUUGGCACUUCCUUCAGAGGAUUCCUUGCCCUUACCCAGAGCACAGUAAAAUCCUCAAGAGAUGUUUGGUAAAUAUACAGUGUUUAAUUCUGAAAUCCAAAUACUGUAUAUGGAAUGUAGAUCAUUUGGUUAUAUUUUAUUUGCAGAACAAAACAUGGAGAGGCUAUCUGCCCUACUGGAUUCAAGCCCAUGUCAUGCUGAGCCUGAGAGAAGAGCAGCAUCAUCGUGGUCUGUUAGGCAGAAGAAAGCCUCCGACCGUUGGGAGGAAGCACGGCCAUACCACCUCAGAUGCCUUUUGGAAUCUGAGGCUGUUGGCAAGCCAUUUUGUUGCUUCUGCCACAAGCCUGCUGUUAUAAGGUUGGAUGUUCAUCAAUCAAAUAAUAUAAUGUAUCUAUGUACAUUAAAAAAAGUAUAUCAUAUAAAUUGAGUGACUUGACAGUGUUUUGUCUGCUUAGGUGCAGUGAGUGCCUUUUGUGGGGCCUGCGACAUGCAUAACCACAGCAAACGGCCACUCCACAACAGGGACAGCGUGGUGGAUGGCUUCUUUAAAGCCAUCCCCCCAUCCACAUGUAUCUCAAGAGGAGAGACUGGAAUAUAUGCCACACAUGAGCAAGAUCGCAUUUUACCCACAAUGCCAGCACAGCACUGCACCUGCCAGGUCCCUAGCUUCACAGUGGAAGCUGGGAAACCAGUCAUCUUGAUUACCAUCAAUGGUAGAAACCAGUUCUCUAUUUAGACUUCUGUUAGUUUAAUAUACAAUAUGCGUCAAUGAUUAUGACUAAUGUUGUUUUGGUUAGGGCGUUAUGAUUUGCAUUUGCCACGUUAUGUGUGCUAAACAUGCCUGCAGCAGUGGGCCCCUGAUGUGAGAGACCUAGUCAGGAGUGGAUAUUUGCCAGCUUCUGCAAAUGCUUCCACAAUCUACACGGUGGACCUCCUCAACACCCUUCAGGAGCUGAAGUUGAUCUCACCUGGAUUCUCCAGGCAAGCCUUUGCAAAGCUGCUGGAACAGUGCACACUGUGCAGGAAGAGUAAGUGUGACAUCA